rnacentral:lncRNA from 1 species
AUAAUUCAAACAUGUUAAAAAGUUAGAACAAAAAAGUGAACCUUGAUUGACAGAUUUGCUAAAACUAUGCAAUGUAUUAUACAGCAUUAUUACAUUUCAGUCUAUAUACUGCAGUAAAAUGGUAAAACAUGCAGAAGUCAUCAAAAGAAAAAUACAUGUUGACAAUCUAGAUCCUGCUGCUGAACAUUUGAUUACCCUGUGUUAGCAGGUAC